GAUUGUAACCAGUGCAUUUUACUCAGAUCUCAUCAGUGAUGGUAAUACUACUACCCUUUCCAAAGAGAGCGUUAUAAGAAGCAAAAUGACCUCUUAAGCACCAAUGACUUGCCUGGUAUUUCAAAAAGAGUUUGCAUAACUUAUCAUUCUUUAUUGGUUAAUGGGUAGAUAUAUCUGUGGCCAGCACAGCUAGAUUUAUAUAUGCCAGUGUUGUGACUUACCAUCUCCAGCUGCCAAUGGGUUAAUAUGCAAAAAGACAC